rnacentral:tRNA from 1 species
GAGCGUGUGGCCUCAUGGACAAGGCGUCUGACUUCGGAUCAGAAGAUUGAGAGUUGGAGUCCCUUCGUCGUUG